CACCCGUGCCUCAAGCCUUCGCCGCCGCCCGCCGCCAGAGAAAACCCCCCAUCCUUCUCUCCUCAAUCUUCAUCUCCCCAUGGCCCCAUCGCAUGGCCCGCCGUGCGCCACCACCCCGUCGCGCCCCUACCGGCCCUGCUCCACCGCGUAGCCUCUUCCUCCCCUUCUCCCCAACAUCGGUGACCGAGUCGGACCAUCCGGCGGUGGGCACGAUGUCCUCUCGCAGAUCUGACUGCCGCCACCGUCGCCUUCUCAACGCCACCUCGAGCUCCCCCACGACGCGGUUGUCCCUGACGAGCACCACCCUGACACUACGUCCCCGGCGAGCUCCUCCCCGACGGCCCCAUACUCUUCUGCACCGCCCCCGCCCCCUCCUCUCCUGCCCCUCGAGCACUACGGCAAGGAUAACGGCAUCCACCUCCCCGCUAGAUCAAGAUCGCGCCCACCACCUCGACUUCUCUCCAAAGGUUCUCUCCCUGUCUCUCGCUCUCUGGUUUAGGUAGCUGUAUAUGUUCUGAUUUGUUCCGUGUGCAGAUCCUGGAAGCGAGGCUCGUCUCUGUGAUUUGCUUGUCAAGAAAUUAUGCAUAGGUUACUUCACUACUGCUCUCGGCUAGCUUGACGUUGUGGCAGAAUAUCAGUUUCCCCUUUGCACAUCCGCUCAUGUAGGUUUAGUAGUACAUGUCUAUUCAUUUAGGUGUUUCCGCUUGCACGUUUCCAGAUCCAGAGCUUACAAGUCUAUCAAUUUAGAUGUUCAGCGUGCCCGUUAUGUCCAGAUCUAGAACUUAAAAGUAGCAUUUUCACAUACAAGAUCUAGUGGGUAAAUCUUUUAAGUUCAAGUUCAGAAUUAAAGACAGAUAUAUGGCUACUAUGAUGCAGGUUGUCCAUGCUAACAGUGGCGGAUCUGAAAGAAAUCUUAGGAGGGGUGAAGGUAAAACAAAAAAUCAAAUACAAAUACACGUAUAAGGGAUGCAAGUGGAGGCAUCUGCAUGUCCGCGAAGCAAAAAUUGCAUUAAUCUUUGUUAGUUUAACAACCCUCUUAGAUUAUUUUUUCUGUUCGCGGUCACUCACGGAUAUGCGGACGCCAUCCACUUAAACAAGUUUGAUUUUGCAGAAUACUGAGAACAUAGAUAAUUACAUUGAUCCUAUCCACAUUACCUUACAAAAUACAUUUCUAACAUUAAUUAUAUAUAAGCUACUUGGUAACAAAUGAAACUGAACCAAAAUACUAAAUAAAUAUGUAGUAUUGAGUUAAUCACUAAGGAUCAGCUCUUUGUUUCUUCCCGCUCCUAAAUUGCAUAAGAAAUUGUUGACUGUGAUUUUACUCUCCGUGCUUAACAUAAGCUACUGGAUAAAAAAUCAUCUUCCAACAUAUUACGUAGCAUUGUCUUAAUAAUCUUCGAAGUAGAAAACACAAGCUUGGCACUUCAGUAUAGCAGGAUUAAAUUCCCAGUGGGGAGAGUGAGGCUAGACUGCUCUUGCUGCUCAUAGCCUCACUUGUACAUGACACCGGCAGUGGCCUGAUGCCUAAGCACGACCGCGACUAGACGAGCCCAGGAGCUCUAACCACCAGCCUCUGGCAUCUGGCCCCAACGCUAGUAAGCUCCAGUGGCCUGUGUUCUGGCUCCCCGACCCCAUGCUCACGCGUCACCGGUCGCAAAGUCCGCGCUAGACAAAAGAGUAGAAGGCGCGCUACAGUAUUGUUUCGCUGCUUGUUUGUCUCCUAUGCAGAGCGUGAGAAGGAUGUGAUAACUGUGCCUUAUGGGUUGUAGUGUGCAGUACUACUACCUGGUACUAUUUUUUUUCAUUUUCGCUGGGAGGCAACCGCCCAGGUUCGCCCCUGUGAAGCUCUGCCGUUGCAUGCUAGUACUCUGGAUACUAUGUCAACUAGAUUUUUGCUUGUUUGUGUGGGCAAAGCAACCAAAGUUGUUGAUAGGUAUUCUAUAUCCUAUCUUUUCAGGGAAAUCGCGAUGGUUACUGGAACAAUCUUCCUUCUAAUGAUCCCAUUUUGUUAACUUAAAACAUAUUUUUUAACUUAAAACAUAUUUCCUGACUGAAUGUUUUUGUGAUUUAAAGGUACCGAUGAAUGUUUAAAGGCUACAUUGGUGUUUCUAGCUUGGAGAAGCAACAUCAACUUGGGAUACAGAUUCACCAGCAUAUGUACAUGCAUCUCAUAGGGGAAGAGCUCUUGCAUGGAUGACCAUAAUGUCACUCUGGAUGCUUCUCCACAAGAUUUGAUUCUGGAGCCUGACGCUGGUGUUGCAGGGAUGUUUGGAUUUUUAUUGAUAAUGCAUCUGGAACUACCUCAGCUUGUCACUCCUCGGAAGCCAACCUCUUGAUAGUUAAUGAUGUCGGGUGCAUGUAUAGAUAGCAUGUUGUAACAAGUUUAUUUGAUACUCGGCGUGACCAACAAUGCUUGUACAUGUUGGUCACAGUGUUCUAGUUGCAACGACUAACUUGUCAUAGCUUAUUUUUUGAAUUUGGCCUUUAGUUGACUACAUAUCUGAUGUAUGUGUUCAUUGAUUAUGAAUCUGAUGUGGUGUAUGA